GGCAGCAUGUCCAAAGACAGGUGUGAGCUGGCUCGGUAAGAGCAAGAGCCUGCAAGCAGUUCUGUGUUGCCUCAGGAGAAAGAGUUCAAAAAGGGAGUAGCAACUGACGAAGCUGGAGAGAGGAGCACAAAAGCAAGAGGCUUCCUGUAGAAGUUCGUAUUUUCCUUACUCUGUAGGCAGCAGGGAGCCACUGAAGGCCUCUAAACAGGACAUGAGGCUCUUACGUUCCUAAAGACAGCUUACUGUUCAGCAAAGUGGAUAAUGGAUUUGAAGGGACAAGACCACAAGUAGGAAGAGGCUGCUGUAAUGAAGCAGAAUUGAAGGAAGACAACAGCCUGCGCGACAAUGCAGUGAGGAGGAAGGGGAGGGAACAGGAGCUGCAGCACCCUCAUGAGGCAGAACCAUUCACAAGCUGACCAGAGGUGCUGUGCUGCUGAGCCGCUGAUGUGCGUCGGCCCAUCCCAGGAUGUAUUUUUGACAUGCCAAGGUAUUUGUGAUAUAAUGACAAAUGAAGAAGCAGGUAACAAAACUGAACAUCUGUACCCAAUGACCAACAUUCUCUUACUUUGCUGGUAACCCACCAUUCUAUUCUGCUUCUUUGAGUUUGCUAAGCACAAUUCCCUUGUUUGUAAGACAGGGAUAAAAAAAAUAAGGUUUCUUCUUAAGGGCCACAUAUGAAAUAAUACAUGUAUGACUGUACCUGGUGCACAGUAGCUAUUUUUCUUUUCCUGUCACCAACAGUUUCAAGCCCUAUCUGGAUAUGUGUCUUAUGGGACAUUCUGCAAAAUACCACUGAGGGCAAAAUCAUAUCUCUUAGCAGAGUCCUUUUUUUUUUUUUUUUUUGCUCUUUUUCAUUUUUAUCGGUACCAGGGAUCGAACUCACGACCGCCUGCUUGCAAGGCAGGUGCUUAUGCCGCUGAGCUAAAUCCCCAGCCCUCUUAGCAGAGUCUUAACGGCCGAACCUAACGGCCCCACCUCUCAGCUCCUUCGAUCUCACCUGCUCUAGACAGCUCCGACAGGCCUCCUGGAUCAGCUGCUCUGUGUCCACCUCUUCCCCCACAUUGUCCCGAACGUUCAUGGCUGCUUUCUGGAAGAACUGGGGAUGCACAAUAGAGGACAAGGUCAAAAGUCCAGCUGGACUAAUAAAGCAGAAGCUUCUAGCCUAUGUUUAUUCAGAAGGGAAAGUGAUUAGGAACAUGGCUUUGGAGUCAGGCAGAUUUAACUCAUAAAUCAGGCUCUAUCCCCUGUUCUAUCACCUCCCUCCCUGCAUUCUUUUUCAAAUCCAGGGCCUCACACCUAUCAGGGCAAGUGUCCUAGUGCUGAGCUAAAUGCUUAGCUCUUUUUAUUUUCUAUUGAGGCAAGCUCUUGCUAACUUACUUAGGCUGGGCUCAUACUUAUGUUCCUCUGCUUCAGCUUCCUUACAUAGCUCUGGGAUUAUAGGUUUUGUGCUACCAUGCCUGGCUUGAGGAUGUAUUUUUGACAUGAGAAAGUAUUCGUGAUAUAAUUACAAAUGAAGCAAGCAUGUUAUAAAAUAGUUUCACAUAGAAUAAGCCUACUUAUAUAAAAUAACAAAAAGUAAACAUAUAGGCAAAAGAACUGUAGGGACAUGUAUUGAUUUAACAGUGGUGGUAUAUGGAUGGUAUUUUCUUUUCCUUAUCUGUAGCCUCCCAAUUUUUUUUAAUGUACACAAAACAUUUUUGCAUUAAAAAAAAAAAAAAAAAAAAGAAUGCCUGUGCCUGAAGUGAAUAGGCCAAGGGAGGCUAGAACAGAUCAAGACAGUGCAAAAGUCCUAACUGGAUUCCCACUGUCCAGUCCUCAAUCUGUAGAACAGGAAAAGGAAGGGCUGGGGAUAUAGCUCAGUGGCAUAGCGUCCGCCUGGCAAGCAAGAGGAGGUGGAGGUGGGGGAAAGAAAUCCAACAGGGGCUGGUUGGCAAAGGCAAGGGAAGGCAGAAGGUUCUUCUAUUGGGUCAGAGAGCGAGCUAGGGCCUAAAAAUACUGAGGGAGCCUGAAGACACAUUUGGGAGGUCCCUAGGAACAUUCAUUAAAAGUCUCUAAAAAUAUAAAGUGUCAAACUUGUCUAGUGGGCAAGAUAAUUCAGGAAACUGUAACAAUGCUCAUGAUAAGGAUGUACUGCCACUUUAUAUUUAACAAGGACAAAAGCCUCUGUUAAUAGCAAACCAAGGAGAAUGUUAUAACCUAAGGCCCCCUAACUAUCGCGCCAAAGUCUGUUCUGUAUAAGCAUCGCCUACUGCUUUCCCUUCCCUUCUCCCUUUACAUCUAACUAGGUUAAGUUUUAACUUUCCAAAAAGCCAUAAAACAAAGGCCUGAGGUAAUAGUUCCUGACAACCCCCUUCCCUACCCAGUGGCCCAUCACAAAUUGUGUUAAUUGCAUUAGAUUGUACUAUUAUUCACAAAAAUCGCUUCGUUUGUAUCAUAGCAAUACCUAUAUGUAUUUUCCUUUUCCCUUUGGGUGAUCUAAUUGAUAUGUUAAUCAAUGCUCUCCUCUGUAAAGAAUUGUAAAAUCUUACCUAAUUUAUAUGUUAACCAUUGUUGCCCUCUACAAAUCACAGUUGUGGUACUAAAGUAAGGUAACUAAGGUUGUUAAUUGCUGUUAGACUUCUCUAUUCUUUGCUAAGAAAAACAAGAUUUCUUCUUAUCUAAACUUGCUUGUAUGCAGGGAGACUUGCAAUCCCCGUUUCUGUUUGUGCCACACUCCCAUCCCCUUCCUUACAUUGUGACCAGCAGUUGUUUGUGGAUUUACAAGAUAAAAGCCCUGACUUUUAGCUGUCAGAUACGCAGUCUCCAUACUGGCUCCCAGAGACUCGUCACCAGGCCUGGAAAUAAAGCUUUUGCUUCCCAAAUUUUAAUUUGUUGCUUCCUUGGAUUUUAUACCAGGGUCCAAGUUAUCACAUUUGGGGGCUCGUCCGGGAUGGGAGCAAGACCCCAGACCCAUUUUUGAACAUCUGAAAGUAAAGUACUCUGGAGGGGUUUGUUUGGGCUGUGGUCAGUUGUAGUUGUAUUCUUGGAGGGGACGCCCUCAAACUUUGGGAGUGUGGACCUUCUGAGGACAGAAUCAAUUGGUUUUCCAUCCAUUUGUGACUCUGCCCUGGGUGGGGAACCGCUCCAUUAGGAAGGGGACACCCUCAAUUUGGGGAGUGGAACCUCCCGAGGACAGAGUCAAUUGGUUUUUGCCAUUUGUGACUCUGCCCUGGGUGGGGAACUGCUCUGUUGGUUAAUUUGUUAAUUCCUCCAAAUCCCAAAAUUUGACUAAUUUUUGAGCAAAGGCCAUUUUUGCUUUGCUGUCUUGUAUGUCUGUUGGUGUGUCCAUUUGUUCUAAUUGUUCUCCUUUUGGUUACCCCAAAUCUAACAGAACAUUCUCUCCUAGGAACCCCUUCUAUGAGCCCAAAACGGACUAAGGAUUUUAGAUCUUUAUGUUCAGAGUUUUUGUACUUUAGAAUUGUUUGCCUGUUUAAAUUUGUUACUAAUUUAGGGGCUUGUUGCCCAUUUCUGUUGCAGGAUCCAUAUGGCUUAUUAGAUUCAAGGUUCAUAAUAAGAAAAAUUAUUUCCUUUAGCUCAACAAACUGCAUGAAGCACCCUUUGUCUGUGUCUUUAAUGUUGUGGCGCCCUGUUUAAUGUUAGUCCUAAAUUGAUUGCUUGCAACCUCAGCAUGCCUUUUAAAAGGAGUAUUUUUCUUUCUGGCACAUAUAUAUGUAUAUUUAUGGUUUUUAAGAAUCAUAUCAACUUUACCAAGUAAAAACCAGGUCCUACUGUAAUUGAGCCAGUUAAAAGGUUAUAGUUUUGUUUUUAAAAUAUAGCAUUUUUAUGUGGUAAAAAGACAUAAAAUAAUUAAAUAUGUUUUAGACUACUAAAAGGUGACUUCAAGGGUUUUGUUGAGAGUUUUUGAUGUUGUCUGAGAAGCAAGAGGAAAGAUAAUUGACUGGUAAUAGUAAAAAAAAGAGGGACAAGGAAAAUGGUUUUGUUUUCAAAUAAAAAUAUCUGGCUGUGCCAGAAUGUGGAAAAAGAUAAAAGCUUAACUUGGGGGGGUGUAUUGUAAGUUGUAGAAAGCUCAAGAGGAUAUAAAUUUUAUUUGUCUUGGUUUAUAGUACUGCAAAUAACAUGUUUGACAAGAAGUAAAUGUGUUCAGAAUUUGACAGUCUUAGAUCAAUUUUGGUAGAAGUAUUCAUAAGAUUGUACUUUGCUGCAAAAUGUUUCCAUUAAAAUGAGAUUACAGGUGAUACUAGAGAUAAGAUACAAAUUCUUGCAUGUGCUGUGAACAUCUGGGAGAUUAUGCAGCACAAUUUUGUUACCUAUGAAAAAGCCCUUUUUGUUAAGAAUAUAAUUUCAGUAAAACGAUGGCCUGUCACAUGACACUCUUGGACAAAAAAGUGGUGUGCCAUCCAAAUGAAGCUGGCUCACUGAUCCGGAAUGCCAAAGCCAUGUUCUCCUUUUGUCCCACCCCGAUUGGACAUCCAGAGGUAAGGAGGUUUCCCAGUAUCGCCAUUGUUCUCUUUGCAACUCAGUCAGCCCUACAUGUUAGACAAAAAUUGCAAAGAUUUGAGAGGUUUGAGGGAAUAGAGUUAAUAGAGAUAUUAUCAGCCAGUUACUAGAGAUAGCACAAAAGUCUUUGAGAACUAGAAAUUUACAAGAAGCUACCAACAAAAAGAUAACCACGGUGUUAGAAUUGCUCUAUGAGAGAAAAGUUUUAAAAAACAGAUGAGAGUUUCUGGGGGCAGUUGGAUACUGUAGGCUAAAUUUUACUAAAAAGCUUGCCUCUAUAUGACUCCCAUAAGGCAGAAACUCAAAACUCACUGAACUGGACUGAUAAAUGCGAAUAGGCCUUCCAGCAGCUCAAGCGGGCCUUGACAGAGGUCCCAGCCCUGGGACUCCCUGAUGUUACCUUGUUCAUAGAUAAACUCAGGGGCAUUGCCAAAGGAGUACUAACUCAGACAUUGGCCCUUGGAAAAGGCCUAUAGCCUACCUCUCCAAAAGACUUGAUGCAGUGACAGGAGUAUGGCCCCCUUGCCUAAGAAUACUAGCUGCUGUGACAAUGUUACUUAAGGAGGCGAAGAAACUCGCUUUGGGCAAUUGAUUUCUGUGGUAACCUCUCACAGUUUAGAGACUCUUAUCAAAACCCCUCCUGAAAAAAAAGACUCUAGAACGCCAGAAUUCUACACUGUCAAACCCUGCUUCUAGACCCAGAGUCAGUGAUAUUCAAGACUUCUUCAGCUUUAAACCCAGCCACCCUUAUGCCUGAUGAUGACCUGGAGGAACAAAGGACACCUCUCCAUGAGUGUGCUGACAUCCUCAAACUGCAGCAGAACCUAUGGGCUGAUCUUACUGACCAGCUUUUGGGAAAUGCUGACAACUAUUUCAUCGAUGGAAGCAGCUUCAUCCAGAACGGCAAACGAGUGGCCGGGGCAGCAAUGACCACCAAAAAGGAGGUACUCUGGCACCUCUGCCCAAAAGGCGGAGCUCAUUGCUUUGAAUGAGGUGCUAAAACUAGCCACGGGAAGGAGGGUAAACAUUUUAACUGACAGUAGAUAUGCUUUUGCUACUGUACAUGUACAUGGUGCCAUCUAUCAGGAGCAAGGUUCCUCACCUCAGCUGAGACUAAGAUUAAAAAUGCUCCACAGAUUCUAGACUUGCUGGCAGCUGUCUGGCUGCCUCAACGGGUUGCUAUUAUUCAUUACAAGGCUCACCAGACAGAUGACACUGUCAUCUUAGGAAACAGUUUGGCAGAUCAAGCCGCUCAAAAAAUAGCAACCACAUCAGAGGGGCCAACCAAGGAAGUAACUGCUCUGAUGCUAGUCCCUCCGACCUUGUCAGAACCAGUCUACACAAAGAAAGACCUACAGUUAGCAUCUCAACUUGGAGCGAAGUCCCCCACCCAAGGAGGCUGGUACCAGUUACCUGAUAAACGAGUACUGUUACUGGAGGCACUAGGGCAGGAGCUGUUACACCGGGCUAACCAGACUACCCAUUUAGGGGGAACUAAACUUGUGGAAUUGUUCAGAACUCGGUUUUUUAUUCCAAAACUCUGCAAACUGACUGCCUCUUUGAGCUCCAGAUGCCCACAGUAAUUGUUAGUCAACUCAGCCAAGAGCUCUAUGCUGGAGACCACCGAACAUCAAAGAAUUGUUCCAGGAGAACAUUGGAAAGUAGACUUCAUGGCAUGGUAAAGCCUGAUUUACAGGGGUACCGCUAUCUCUUGGUAUUAAUAGACACUUUUACUGGUUGGGUAGAGGCUUUCCCUACUAAGUCUGAGUCAGCCUUAGUGGUAGUUAAAAGGCUAUUGCAUGAGAUCAUACCUUGAUUUGGCCUCCCACUAUCAAUGGGGUCUGAUAAUGGCCUGGCUUUCAUAGCCCAAGUCACCCAAAAGUUAGCCCAGGCAUUUAAGAUUAAACUCCACUGUGCCUAUCAGCCACAAAGCUUAGGGCAAGUAGAACGUAUGAACCAAAGUCUCAAGGACAUUUUAGCUAAGCUGUCUUCAAAAACUGGCGAUAAUUGGGUGAGCCUUCUUCCCUUUACACUGUUAAGAGCUAGAUGUACCCCAUAUGUUUCUAGAAUUUCCCCCUUUGAAGCCAUGUUUGGGAGGCCCCUGUCAUUGGUUCCAAGAUUGUCAGGAAAUAAACUAGCUAAAAUAACUAAUCAAGAUCUCAUUAAGUCCCGGCAGACUCUCCAACCCGUGUUGACUUCAAUCCACCAGCUGCUUAGACUAGACAAAAACACCUGGAUCUGCCUUCAGAGACACCUCUCAAGGUGCCGAUCAAGCCAGGGACUCCAGUCUUGGUGCAAUGUUACCACCGUGACUCCCUCGAACCCCGCUGGGAAGGACCUUUUACCAUGGUGCUCAGUACCCCCACUGCCAUCAAGGUAGCAGGAAAAAAUGCGUGGAUUCACCAUACUCACGUAAAGCCACUGGAAACAGCGGACAAUGAGGGACAUACUCAGUGGACUACACAGCAGACUGGUAACCCCUUAAAGUUAAAAUUGACUAAAGCAUAUUAGAUUAUGCUGGUCAUGAACUGUUUUAGCUUGCUUGCUUUGAUUUUAAUAACAUUGAUGCCGACCUUGCACGGCGGCUUUGGUCCCCCUGUAAGCAAAGAACAAUUGUUAAAGAUCUUUAUGUGGUAGCUGUGAUUGCAACUGGGGAGAAUUAUACAUACAACAGGAAACAAGGAUUGCGAUCCUUCCCACACAAAUGAUAAACUGUAUACAUACAGUCUGUGGACAGAUUGUGGGGACAAGUUAACAUUCCUUGUUGCUAUACCCUCAGUUACAGGGGUUUGACUAAAAGGUGGAUGUGUGUUAAAGCCCCGCGUGAUACCUAACAAAGGCAGCCAGCGAGCGCCAUGCCCUCAGAAUUGUUCGUAAUAUUCAGAAAUGCAUUCCUCCUGCUAUGACUCUGUACAAGAAUGUAUAGGCAUAGAUAGCAAAACUUACUUCACUGCUGAGCUUAUGAGGAGAGGGCUGGAAGAGUUAGAGGUGACUGAUCCACCAAUCCGACAGUGAUAGAAAGUUCAAAGUAUGCCCAAACCUCAUGUCUCAGCACGGUUGAUAAAUCAGUGUGCUGGAGCAGGGUGGCCCCUAUAUAUGUGUCUGAUGGGGGCGGCCCGCAAGAUAAGGUCAGAAAACUCAUGGUUGAGGAAUGAGUCAAGCAGCUAGUAAAAAUAAUGUUUCCCCAGAUACAUUACCACUCCUUGAUGCUGCCUAAUUGCGGGGAGUUGGUCUGGAUGCUCAAACUUCUGAUAUUCUAGAGGCCACUCAUAAAGCCUUAAAUGCUUCCAACCCAACUUUGGCUGAAGAAUUGCUGGUUAUGCAUGGCACAGGGCUUCCCCAUACCCCUUGCCAUCCCCACCAGUGUUUCUCUGGCUACACUGGAAAAACAAGAUUACUUAAAUUAUAGUGCUGGUCCCCCCUUUAGAGUACAACCAGUAGGCUUCAAGGACUCUCUCUGUCUCCAAGGAGGUUUUCAUAAUGAUACCUCCAACAUUGACAUGGGGUUCGUUGCAUUUACUAAUUGUAGUUCCAUAGUUAACAGACUACCUCCCUUUAUCCCGCCGAAGGACAAGUAUUUAUUUGUGGAGGAAAUAUGGCCUAUACUUUCCUCCCAACUAACUGGACAGGGAUACAUGUAACAGCUGUCUUGUUGCCUGAUAUAGAGAUCCUACCCAGGGAUGAGCCUGUCCCCAUUCCUAGUUUAGAUUACACAAAACAGAAGGGGACUAGAUCUCCUAACAGCAGAACAAGUAGGGAUCUGUGUGGCAUUGUAGGAACGAUGCUGCUUUUAUGUAAAUAAGUCCGGCAUUGUCCGAGAUAAAAUCAAGAGACUACAGGAAGACCUUAGAAAUCUCAAUUGACUCCUUAGCUGAAGUAGCUCUCCAAAAUCUCAGAGGGCUAGACCUUCUGUUAGCUGAAAAAGGAGGACUAUGCUUGGCUUUAGGAGAGCAAUGCUGCCUGUAUGCUAAUAAGUCUGGGGUGGUAAAACAAAAUUUAGCCGAACUCCAAAAAGGCAUACAAGAAAGAGAAAGACUAAGGCGAGGAACUUUAGGAUGGGCAGAACAAAUGUUCUCCUUCCCAUCACGGAUGACAAACAUAAUAGUGACCGUAGCCUGUCCUCUUGUUAUGAUUCUAGUUUUAGUUAUUUUAGGUCCCUGCAUAGUAAAUAGGCUAACUGCAUAUAUAAGGCAUCAGAUGCAGAGCAUAAAAUUAAUGAUGGUUAAACAACAAAUGUAUGAACUUGUCCCCUCAGAUCUUUAGGUCAAAGAUUUGACCUUAGUCACAACAUCAGAGGGGAAUGUUAUAACCUAAGGCCCCCUAACUAUCGCGCCAAAGUCUGUUCUGUGUAAGUGCCACCUGCUGCUUCCCCUCCCCUUCUCCCUUCACAUCUAACUAGGUUAAGUUUUAACUUCCCAAAAGGCCAUAAAACAAAGGCCUGAGGUAAUAGCUCCUGACAACCCCCUUCCCUACCCAGUGGCCCGUCACAAAUUGUGUUAAUUGCAUUAGAUUGUAUUAGAUUAUACUAUUAUUCACAAAAAUAGCUUCGUGUGUAUCAUAGCAAUACCUAUAUGUGUUUUCCUUUUCCCUUUGGGUGACCUAAUUGAUAUGUUAAUCAAUGCUCUCCUCUGUAAAGAAUUGUAAAAUCUUACCUAAUUUAUAUGUUAACCAUUGUUGCCCUCUACAAAUAACAGUUGUGGUGCUAAAGUAAGGUAACUAAGAUUUUUAAUUGCUAUUAGACUUCUCUAUUCUUUGCUAAGAAAAACAAGAUUUCUUCUUAUCUAAACUUGCUUGUAUGCAGGGAGACUUGCAAUCGCCAUUUCUGUUUGCGCCACACCCCCAUCCUUUCCUUACAUUGUGUGACCAGCAGCUGUUUGUGGAUUUACAAGAUAAAAGCCCUGACUUUUAGCUGUCAGGUAUGCAGUCUCCAAACUGGCUCCCAGAGACUCGUCACCAGGCCUGGAAAUAAAGCCUUUGCUUCCCAAAUUUUAA